rnacentral:lncRNA from 1 species
CUAACACCCUCAUUAACAAGAUGGCGCUGGAAUCUGGGGGAGACCUCCAAGAUACCAGUGACAUCACCCCCAGUAGGCAGAGCAUUAAAUGAACCACUUAACACCUAACCAAUUAUUGAUGUAUUAUUUCAUGUUAUCUCUGACAAUGCUUAUGAUGCCAUUUUGCGUUAUAAGGGACAUGUCGUCCCCCCUGAAUAAACAUUCCUCAAGUUUUUCAUUAACCCGAAACUUGUGUCUGGUGUGAAUUACUUCAGGAGCGUGCACGUACUA